rnacentral:tRNA from 1 species
CCCUGCUUAGCUCAGUUGGUAGAGCGCCUCACUGAAAAUAAGGAGAGGUCCCGGGUUCAAUACCCGGACCAGGCG